CAUGGCCAGGAACAGCAGCCCAACAGCUGCCGUCCAUCAGAAACAAGCAGUAAUUACAUUUCGAUGACUUUGCUCUCCCGUGGAUGAGCACUGGUGUGGCUGAAUCUAAAAGCUUCCGCAAGUGCUGCUUCUAUUGGUCAGGAGAGCUGGAUAUAGAGCAGAAGGAGAAAAAAGGAAGGAAAACCAGCUGGUUAUGGCUAUUUAGAAUAUGCUUGUGCAUAUGUGUCUCCUUUUCCAAACACUUUGGAAAGAAACAGUGUGCAACUAAAGUCACAUCAACAGUCUGAUUCAGGGCACCUAUUCAGAAAUGAAGUAGUCUCUAUCUUCAUGGCUGGGUGAACAAAGACCUUUCAAGAACAUUUCUCUGCUCCUCUGGUGUGAGUUCAUACUCGAUGCAGAUCCAGCCCCACAGCUGUCUAUGGGUAACCUUGCUGACAAAAGCUUCUUGGUCAUGGAUGUGGGGAAUUCAAAGACAAUCCAAAAUGCAUCUGGCUGUAUGAUACCUCCAGUGCUAUUAACUGCAGGAGCUGAUGGAACUUUACUCCUCUGGAAACCAAGGGCCCAGGAUAUAUGGGGUAGCCUAUGGACUUCUGAUAGUAUUGGUGCAUUCAAACAGCCAGCUUGCACAGCCUCUGAGUAAACAGAAGAAUAGAACACUGUUUUAAAACUGACAAUACACAGGAAAAAAUUGCAAAACAUCUGAGGAAAAUUAAGAUAAUCUGAGGAAUAUACUGGGGGGUAGAGUCUGUAGUAUUUAUGUGUGUGUGUAAGAAAGACUACAUGUCUUUAUCCAAUUAAAUAAUGUCAAUAAUUUUACUAGAAAAAAU